CAAGACGUCUCAUCGCUGAUUUGACAGUCAGGCUGGUGGGGGGCGUGGUCAGUCAGAGGGGGUAUAUAAAUAGAAGAGGGCAGGGUCUCAGCUCAGAAACGGUUCCGGAGCGACUUUCAACGACUCAACGGAACAAAACAAGAUUAUAGAAGCGAACAUGUUGCAAAGCUUCAGUCAGUCGCAGAGUUUGAUGAAGGACCAAAACACUGGAACCUGCUGCAGCACUCCACACAGCAGGUUUCAGCAGGAGAACAUGGAUUCACCUGCAGAGGAGGAUCUCACCUGUCCUGUCUGCAGGGACGUCUUCAAAGAGCCUGUCGUCCUGUCAUGCAGCCACAGCUUCUGUAGAGACUGUCUGCAGAAGUGCUGGACAGACAGACAGACACAGGAGUGUCCACUUUGUAAGAGACGGUCAUCAAUGCCCAGGAAUCCACCUGAUCUUACAGACCCGCUGUUGAAGGAGCUGACAGAGGAGAACUUCAGCAGCUCCUCUGAGUCUCUGCAGUCUGCACAGUGAGCAGCUCUUCAGUCUGGACCAUCAGCAGCCGAUUAUAGAAGCGAACACGUUGCAAAGCUUCCGUCAGUCGCAGAGUUUGAUGAAGGACCACAACACUGGAACCUGCUGCAGCACUCCACACAGCAGGUUUCAGCAGGAGAACAUGGAUUCACCUGCAGAGGAGGAUCUCACCUGUCCUGUCUGCAGGGACGUCUUCAAAGAGCCUGUCGUCCUGUCAUGCAGCCACAGCUUCUCUGCAGUCUGCACAGUGAGCAGCUCUUCAGUCUGGACCAUCAGCAGCCGGUGUGUCUCGUCUGUCUGCACACAUA